rnacentral:rRNA from 1 species
CCUACGGGGGGCUGCAGUGGGGAAUAUUGGACAAUGGGCGAAAGCCUGAUCCAGCCAUGCCGCGUGUGUGAAGAAGGCCUUCGGGUUGUAAAGCACUUUUAGUGGGGAAGAAAGCCUUGGGGCUAAUACCCUCGAGGAAGGACAUCACCCACAGAAGAAGCACCGGCUAACUCCGUGCCAGCAGCCGCGGUAAUACGGAGGGUGCGAGCGUUAAUCGGAAUUACUGGGCGUAAAGCGCGCGUAGGCGGUCUGAUAAGCCGGUUGUGAAAGCCCCGGGCUCAACCUGGGAACGGCAUCCGGAACUGUCAGGCUAGAGUGCAGGAGAGGAAGGUAGAAUUCCCGGUGUAGCGGUGAAAUGCGUAGAGAUCGGGAGGAAUACCAGUGGCGAAGGCGGCCUUCUGGACUGACACUGACGCUGAGGUGCGAAAGCGUGGGUAGCAAACAGGAUUAGAUACCCUGGUAGUC